rnacentral:rRNA from 1 species
AUUGAACGCUGGCGGCAUGCUUUACACAUGCAAGUCGAACGGCAGCACGGGAGCUUGCUCCUGGUGGCGAGUGGCGAACGGGUGAGUAAUGCGUCGGAACGUGCCGAGUAAUGGGGGAUAACGCAGCGAAAGUUGUGCUAAUACCGCAUACGCUCUGAGGAGGAAAGCGGGGGACCUUUCGGGGCCUCGCGUUAUUCGAGCGGCCGACGUCUGAUUAGCUAGUUGGUGGGGUAAGAGCUCACCAAGGCGACGAUCAGUAGCGGGUCGGAGAGGAUGAGCCGCCACACUGGGACUGAGACACGGCCCAGACUCCUACGGGAGGCAGCAGUGGGGAAUUUUGGACAAUGGGGGCAACCCUGAUCCAGCCAUGCCGCGUGUCUGAAGAAGGCCUUCGGGUUGUAAAGGACUUUUGUCAGGGAGCAAAUCCUGGCCGUGAAUAACGGUUGGGGAUGAGAGUACCUGAAGAAUAAGCACCGGCUAACUACGUGCCAGCCGCCGCCGUAACAC